AGUGAACGCUGGCGGUAGGCCUAACACAUGCAAGUCGAACGGCAGCACAGUAAGAGCUUGCUCUUACGGGUGGCGAGUGGCGGACGGGUGAGGAAUACAUCGGAAUCUACUUUUUCGUGGGGGAUAACGUAGGGAAACUUACGCUAAUACCGCAUACGACCUACGGGUGAAAGCAGGGGAUCUUCGGACCUUGCGCGAUUGAAUGAGCCGAUGUCGGAUUAGCUAGUUGGCGGGGUAAAGGCCCACCAAGGCGACGAUCCGUAGCUGGUCUGAGAGGAUGAUCAGCCACACUGGAACUGAGACACGGUCCAGACUCCUACGGGAGGCAGCAGUGGGGAAAAUUGGACAAUGGGCGCAGGCCUGAUCCAGCCAUACCGCGUGGGUGAAGAAGGCCUUCGGGUUGUAAAGCCCUUUUGUUGGGAAAGAAAAGCAGCAGGUUAAUACCCCGCUGUUCUGACGGUACCCAAAGAAUAAGCACCGGUUAACUUCGUG
rnacentral:rRNA from 1 species